GACCCAUCUUUUUUAGGUCACAAGAUUGCGCCAACUUCCACAUGGUAUUUAAAAUAAAAACCUUUUAUCGGCCUGACAUUGAAAAGAAGGCCCCCGAUGGGCAGGAGGUGUGAGUCCGGCAAAGUUUUAAGAUGAAUAUGCAUUUUGGAAACCUUAGCGGCACUGGCAGAUUGAGGUCCAGAGAGAUGAAGUGACUAAUUCAGGGUCACACAGUGAGGAUGGAAUCCAGACCUUCUGAUUUCCUUAUUGAAUUGCACUAUCUUGUGGAUACGUGAGUGAACUCCUCACCACCCAUUUUACAGAUGAAGUGACUGAGAUGUGAAGCAACUGACUAAAUAGACUCUGCCCCACCCCUGGAGCCUCACACAUGACUCUUCUCCUCCUACUCAAGUGAUCUCAGGGGUGAAUUUUCCAUGAAGGGAAAGAAUAGAGCAUAAAUUGCCGCCUGAAGCAAGGAGUAUCCUCACAGUCAAGAAAUGGAAGGAAGCCAUGGAAGCUACAGCUAUCACUCACAGUCACUGUCCUGUCCCCUACCCUUUAUAAGGCUUGAUAUUUCCCUAAAGCAGAAUUCAAAGGGGGAAAAAGUUCUUACCUGUCCAUAAAUAGCUUGAGGUAUUUUGGCAGUAAAUUGACCAAAUUGUUAUAACGGAGUUAAUGUUUAGUGGUUGAUUGAAUUCUGGCUUCUUUCUUUCAGAAGCAAUGUAGUGAAAGCAUAUUGACUUAGACCCAUGAGGUAAGGGCUUGUCUGAAUUGAUUACAUGAAAAAAAAUUUUUUUUGUUAAGUCAUUAAGUUUGUUUACUUUUAGAAUCACAUGGUAACUCACUUGCGUGUUGUGCUAGCUGGUAGAGAUCUGGAGAGGUCCUGCCUUAAUGAGUUGAAAUCAGAAGUCUCUUAAUUCAUUUGAAUCCUCAACCUAUAAUCAUUUUUAUGUGAUUAUUUAACUAACCCUGUACCCCAGUUAUGUAUGCAUAAAAAAAUAAAUCUUGAAAAAAAAAAGAAAAAAGAAAUCUACCUUUAUGAACUUCCUCAUUAUUCCAGAGACUUUCUCAGCAGUCUGAUUUUUUUAAAAAGUAAGAUCAUGUGACUAGGAUUCAAGUAACAUCAGCUUACUGGCUUUGGUAAUAAUCCUUGUCUGUGGAGUCACAACUCACAGAAAGGAAACUUCCCAUGGUACCUCCAUUUUGUCCCUUGCUAGCUAAUUCUAACAGUGUAAAUACAAAAUACAAUUAUCUUUUGUUCGAAGUUCUGAAUCAACAAAAUCCACUUUAAAAAGUUCUCCUGCAGUUGAUAGGCUGGUGUGUGCUAAGAAGCCUGUAAGAUGGUGCAGUGCUUGGAGCAUAGUGGGCAGUCAGGAAAUGGUGAUGAAUGAAGGAAUGAGUGAGUGAAGUACUGGUAUGUAGAACAGUAACAUCACUAGAGCUUGGGUGGGUAGUUUUAGAAGUUUUAGGGUAUGGCUUUUAUAGUGGAGAGGGACAAAAUGGAGGUACCAUGGGAAGUUUGCUUUCUGUGAGUUGUGACUCCACAGAUAAGGGUUAUUUCCAAAGCCAGUAAGCUGAUGUCAC